rnacentral:rRNA from 1 species
UACAGAGGGUGCAAGCGUUGUUCGGAAUUAUUGGGCGUAAAGCGCGUGUAGGCGGCUUUGCAAGUCGGGUGUGAAGGCCCUCAGCUCAACUGAGGAAGUGCGCCCGAAACUGCAGAGCUUGAGUACCGGAGAGGAUGGCGGAAUUCCCCAAGUAGAGGUGAAAUUCGUAGAUAUGGGGAGGAACACCGGUGGCGAAGGCGGCCAUCUGGACGGAUACUGACGCUGAGACGCGAAAAGCGUGGGUAGCAAACAGG